GUCUAGUGCUGUCUCACUCCAAGAGUGAAGUGUGUCCAGCAGUGUCAUGGGGAGGAUCAAAGGUCUUGGAGCAUCUGACAUAUAAGGAGAGGCCGAGGGCUGGGAGCAUUCAGACUGGAGAAGGAAAGCUUGGGGGGAUCUUAUCCAUGUGUGUAAUGGCCUGAUGGGGGGGUGAGUAAAGAUAAUGAAGCCAGGCUCUUCUCAGUGUGCCCAGUGACAGGAUGGGAGGCAAUGGGCACUCACUGAAAUAAGGGAAAAUCUGUUUGAAUGCAGUAAAAAUAUAUCCUUUUUAGGGUGGCUGAGCACUGGACCAGAGUGCCCAGAGGGCUUGUGACAUCUCCAUAAUUGGAGAUAUUCAAAACCUGAUUGGAUGCAGCACAGAGCAACCUACUGUAGUUGGCCCUCCUUUGAGUAGGGGGCCAGAUGACUUCCAGAGUUCCCUUCCAACAUGAAUACUUUUGUUAAAUUAAUCAGAAAGAAAUUGCUUAUUGUUUAUCUGUUCUGUUUACUCUUUCAUCCUGACUGAUGGUGGACACUGUUAAUGUAACUCUGGUGUCCAGGAGUUAGUUAUGUUUAAAGACAAGCAUAUGCAUCAAACAAAUGCUUUUUUCCAACAUGUUGUGUAUGGUGCACUUAAACUCUAGGGUUCUUUCAUUCCUAAAAGCUGAGUAUAUGCUUGUUUCAUUGAGAGCUUCAGAAAUUAGUGUGUCCAGCACACUGAAGUGCUCCACAGGCACAUGUCUACGUGCAGAAAGCACAGCACUGUUGCAUGGGGUGACUUCAGGCACAGGUGUUUGUCUGCCCUUGGGAAAUUCUAGUUUUAUCACCAGAGGACAUGAUGAAUUCCCAUCCAACAGCACUCUGCCUAUUGCUGAGCGAAGUAGGCAAGGCAGGGCUUCAGAGACUGCCAGCCCCACGAUGAGCACAAAGGGGUUUUCUCCUACGUUCUGUUGAACUAUUUCUGCCUGUAUCUGUAAUUAAAAUAUGAAAGCUUUUAGAAAUGUUUGUUGCUUGUAAACUGCAGCUGCCAAGAGUCAGAGCAGAAGGUAAAUGGUUAAAUAAAAGGGGUAAUAUUUAAGGUCUGUAUUUCAGAACCAGCUAAUGUUUCAUCUUGAGCCUGUAAUCAGCAGCAACCGUGAGGGAGAGAGAAUAUGAACAUUAUUAUUUUAGUAUAAAAACCUAGUUCUGAAUAAACCCUUUCUUGCAGAUGUGUUUCUGGGCACCAACAGAAAAUCUCAUUGUGAAGACACAAUACCAUUUUAGUAUGCAGGAUUGCCAUUGAGAGUGCACUGUGGAAAGGAGUGAUUUGCUUCAGUAAAGAAGUCUUACCUUGGGAAAAGAAGCUUCUCCACUUGGUUCUGAUUUUAAUCACAGAAUCACAGAGUAAACUGAGUUGGAAGGGUCUCCUACUACUUUAGAAUCAUCUGCUACAAUUCCUGGCCCAGCACAGGACCCUCUCCAAGAGCUAUGUUGUGUGGCCAAGAGUAGCUGCUAUUCUGAAAUAUUACAGAAAGGGUGGCUAUGAGGAGGAAACAGCAAGAAGUUUGGAGGACAGGAUUAGGAUAAACAUGCUGGAGAAACAGUCUACAAAAAUGUUGGAGAAAUUUACUAAGGACUUUUGCAGUCUGCUACCCUUUGGAAUAAUUAUCUGCAUAAUCACAAGAUGAAGGAACUCUUGCUUAGAAAAUACUGAAGAAAAGCUUAUGGCAACUGUAUUGGAUACUACAUUAAAUAUGAAACCACACUGUUCUGCUGUUUAAAAAUAAUUUAUAAAUAGCAUUACAUUAUGUCAUGUAUAAUAGAAUAUUGGCAGAACUUACAUAUCAUGUUUGGGGCACUGAAUUUAAAGAAAAAUGGGAUAAACAGCAGAAUCAAAAAGGUAAGAAAAGUAGAGGAGGAAAGAGCACUUACAAGGCCUACUGAGAGCAGGAGAAGAGGCAAGUUAAUUUGCAUUGAGAGAUAUUCAGGCUAGAUGUUAGAAAAUUACUUUUUUGAAAGUGAGGGAGGGAGGUAACCUCAUUUAAUGCCUGGGGAAUGUUGCAGAGAUCUCUGCUGCUGGAAGCCUCUUAGCGAAGCUAUGUGGAUUUCUCUAGCAGAAGUGAUUGGUUUUACCAGAUAUUACAUGACCUGUUGAGACCUUCUUAAUGUAUUGUCUUGCUUUCUGGAAAGUUUUAUUUGAAGAAAAAAAACCCCAAGCAACCCAGAGCAAAAAAAUCCGUCUACGAUUCAACCAAAAUUUUUAUAGAGCAGUAUUCCUCAGUAAUAUGUAGUGUGGCCUUUUAAUAUGAGAUUGCUUCUGGGAUUUCUUACUCAUCUGUUUACCAAUUACUAUCAUUAUUCUGAUCAUUUUUCCUAGUGGAAAGCAGAACAAAAACCUACCCUACAUCAUGAGUUUUCUUACGGGAAUUGUCAAAAGUAUCAUUCAUUUGGGAAAUCUAAAUGCUGAGUGCUUUCCUCGGACUUCUCUGGAGUGUGUCAUACAGUGUUUUACUCUAGUCUUUCAGAAAACAAUGCAACAUUAAAGAAGUGC